GGAAGGGGGGGCUGGCUGGGGACCUUUGGGGACAGGUGGUGCUGAUGUCCCCCGCUGUCCCCUGAUGUCCCUGGGUGUCCCCGCAGGCGCCCGAGGCCGAUUACCUGGAGGCCUGCGUGGUGUCGGUGCUGCAGAUCCACGUCACCCAACCGCCCGGGGACAUCCUGGUGUUCCUCACCGGCCAGGAGGAGAUCGAGGCCUGCGUGGAGCUGCUGCAGGAGCGCUGUCGCCGCCUGGGCUCGCGCCUGCCCGAGCUGCUGGUGCUGCCCAUCUACGCCAACCUGCCCUCGGAGCUGCAGGCCCGCAUCUUCCAGCCCACGCCCCCCGGCGCCAGGAAGGUGGUGGUGGCCACCAACAUCGCCGAGACGUCGGUGACGAUCGACGGCAUCGUCUACGUGCUGGACCCCGGCUUCUGCAAGCAGAAGAGCUACAGCGCCCGCACGGGCAUGGAGUCCCUGGUGGUGACACCCUGCUCGCGGGUACGGCCACCUGGGGGUCACCUGGGGGUCACCUGUGUGCCACCCGUGUCACCUGUGUCACCUGUGUGUCACCCGUGUCACCUGUGUGCCACCAACCUGCCACUGCCCGCACGGGCAUGGAGUCCCUGGUGGUGACACCCUGCUCGCGGGUACGGCCACCUGGGGGUCACCUGGGUGUCACCUGUGUCACCUGUGUGCCACCCGUGUCACCUGUGUGCCACCUGUGUCACCUGUGUGCCACCUGUGCCACCUGUGUCACCUGUGUGCCACCCGUGUCACCUGUGUCACCUGUGUGCCACCCGUGUCACCUGGGUGUCACCCGUGUGUCACCGACCCGCCACUGCCCGCACGGGCAUGGAGUCCCUGGUGGUGACACCCUGCUCGCGGGUACGGCCACCCGGGGGUCACCUGGGUGUCACCCGUGUCACCUGUGUGUCACCCGUGUGCCACCUGUGUCACCUGUGUGUCACCUGACUAUCAUUUAUUGUCACACCCCCCUAUUUUUACCCGUCCCUGCUGUGUCCCCAUCACGUUCCAGUCAGGUGCCGGGCAUCACCGGUGUCACACGGGUGUUGUUGGUAUCCCAGUGAAAUGUCGCUGCUGUCACUGGUGUCACACGGGUGUCACACUGGUGUCACACGGGUGUCACACUG
rnacentral:lncRNA from 1 species